rnacentral:rRNA from 1 species
AUUGAACGCUGGCGGCAUGCCUUACACAUGCAAGUCGAACGGCAGCACGGGAGCAAUCCUGGUGGCGAGUGGCGAACGGGUGAGUAAUAUAUCGGAACGUGCCCAGUCGUGGGGGAUAACGUAGCGAAAGCUACGCUAAUACCGCAUACGAUCUAUGGAUGAAAGCGGGGGAUCGCAAGACCUCGCGCGAUUGGAGCGGCCGAUAUCAGAUUAGGUAGUUGGUGAGGUAAAGGCUCGCCAAGCCGACGAUCUGUAGCUGGUCUGAGAGGACGACCAGCCACACUGGGACUGAGACACGGCCCAGACUCCUACGGGAGGCAGCAGUGGGGAAUUUUGGACAAUGGCGCAAGCCUGAUCCAGCAAUGCCGCGUGCAGGAU